rnacentral:lncRNA from 12 species
UGUCACAGGCAGUAAGAGUCCAGGGAAGCUAGGCCAGAAUACAAGGAAAGAGAAAAGAAAAUAAGGGAUUAGCUUUGACAAGCUCACCAGAAGAUGUCUACUCUGCCCUUCGGUCGCAGUGCAAGGUUUUGUGGGAUUCUUUCUUAUAAUAAUCAGACAAGAAUUCAGAAUCAUUUUCCUUGGAAGGAAUUAGGGUUUGGAGUGUUGUUUUUCCCUUCCCUUUAUUCUGAUACAUUAACUAGUUCAAGUAAUAACUGAACGAGACCACACAUAGUAAUAAAAAUAUACUGUAUAAUUAUUAUUUUAGGCAACAUUGAUUAAGCAUUUCACAACGUACCAGGAGCUGUGCUGAGUAUUUUACGUAUAUAUAGUUCAUGCAAUUCUCAGUAGCACAUUGUGGUUGUUAGUUUCAUUUUCUAGAUGAUUAUACAUGGUACAGGAAGGUUAAAUAACUUGCCCAAGAUCACAUAGCUCAUAAAUAGCCAGGAAGGAUAGAAACAGUCUGACUCCUCACUCCACAUGCUAUCCCAUUUAACAAACCUACCCCAAGACACCAGCUCCUACUUAAAGAGAGCUUUUGCUAGUUCAAACAUCAGGCGCAGCAUAAGGCCCCCUCAACACUGCUCUCCCACUCAGCAUCACACUUAUGUCCAACGAAAGUGCCAGCAGGGCAGGGAGCUCCUCACUCUCAACUGAAGGUUAACUAUUAACACAGCUCCGUGGGCAGCAGGCACAGUUGGAGCAAGGGAGACUAGGAAAGGCUUUGGGAGAGAAGUGAACUGGGACUGCGUGGAGAGGCGAGAAAAUGUGAAAGCAGCACACAGCCCCGGGUUCACAGCAGGCGUAGAGGGUCCAAGCCUGGAGAGGGAGCCGACGCCAGAUCCUGGUGGGUCUUGAAUGCCAGGAUGAAGAGCGUAUUCUUAAUUCGGCGGGAGCCACUGAAAGCUUUGGAACAAGGAGUGGUAUGAAGGAGUUAUCCUCGAACACCAUUCUUUCCUGCUUCUUUAGUAACAGAAGCACCGACCUUGUUUUAAAAAGUAAUUUAAUUAAAAAAAAGUAAUUUAAUUAAUUUAUGUAUUGAAGUAUAGUGGACACCAAGAGUCACAUUAGUUUUAAGUGUACAACAUAGUGAUUUGGCAAGUCUAUAUCUCACGCUGUCCUCACCACAGGUGUAGCUGCCAUCUGUCACCAUACGACGCUAUUACAGGAUCACUGACUAUAUUCCCUAUGUCGUACCGUUCAUACGCAUGACUUAUUCGUCAGAAGCACCAAUUUUUAACUGGGAAUAUGCCUGUGCAAAAUAAAGAUGACAUUUCCUAACCUCUCUUAUAGCUA